rnacentral:rRNA from 1 species
AGCAGUAGCCACGGUAAUACGUAGGUGGCAAGCGUUGUCCGGAUUUAUUGGGCGUAAAGCGAGCGCAGGCGGUUCCUUAAGUCUGAUGUGAAAGCCCCCGGCUCAACCGGGGAGGGUCAUUGGAAACUGGGGAACUUGAGUGCAGAAGGGGAGAGUGGAAUUCCAUGUGUAGCGGUGAAAUGCGUAGAUAUAUGGAGGAACACCAGUGGCGAAGGCGACUCUCUGGUCUGUAACUGACGCUGAGGCUCGAAAGCGUGGGGAGCAAACAGGAUUAGAUACCCCGGUAGUCCCUGUCUCUUAUAC